rnacentral:tRNA from 1 species
CCUGAUGGAUCUGAAUGUAAAGAAUCUGUCUUUAAAGCAGGAGAUCCGGGUUCCAUCCCUGGAUAAGGA